AUUGAACGCUGGCGGCAUGCUUUACACAUGCAAGUCGAACGGCAGCGCGGGCUUCGGCCUGGCGGCGAGUGGCGAACGGGUGAGUAAUACAUCGGAACGUGCCCAGUAGCGGGGGAUAGCUCGGCGAAAGCCGGAUUAAUACCGCAUACGACCUGAGGGUGAAAGCGGGGGAUCUUCGGACCUCGCGCUAUUGGAGCGGCCGAUGGCAGAUUAGCUAGUUGGUGGGGUAAAGGCCUACCAAGGCGACGAUCUGUAGCUGGCCUGAGAGGACGACCAGCCACACUGGGACUGAGACACGGCCCAGACUCCUACGGGAGGCAGCAGUGGGGAAUUUUGGACAAUGGGCGAAAGCCUGAUCCAGCAAUGCCGCGUGUGUGAUGAAGGCCUUCGGGUUGUAAAGCACUUUUGGCGGGAACGAAAAGGACUGUGCCAAUACCACGGUUCGAUGACGGUACCCGCAGAAUAAGCACCGGCUAACUACGUG
rnacentral:rRNA from 1 species